GUGCCAGCCGCCGCGGUAAUACGAAGGGGGCUAGCGUUGUUCGGAAUCACUGGGCGUAAAGCGCACGUAGGCGGAUCUUUAAGUCAGGGGUGAAAUCCCGAGGCUCAACCUCGGAACUGCCUUUGAUACUGGGGAUCUCGAGUCCGGGAGAGGUGAGUGGAACUGCGAGUGUAGAGGUGAAAUUCGUAGAUAUUCGCAAGAACACCAGUGGCGAAGGCGGCUCACUGGCCCGGAACUGACGCUGAGGUGCGAAAGCGUGGGGAGCAAACAGGAUUAGAAACCCCCGUAGUCC
rnacentral:rRNA from 1 species